ACGGAAGUCGUUAUGAUGAUUUCAACACUGACAGAGAACUUGUUCAAAGAAAGUAGAGAUUGACUUAUAACAAUGGCUUUAGUGGCGGACUGGCGAGUAACACGUGAGCAACCUGCCUAUCAGAGGGGAAUAACAGUGAGAAAUCAUUGCUAAUACCGCAUAUGCCAUAAAUAUCACAUGAUGAAAGUGGGAAAGGAGUAAUCCGCUGAUAGAUGGGCUCGCGUCUGAUUAGAUAGUUGGUGGGGUAACGGCCUACCAAGUCGACGAUCAGUAGCCGGACUGAGAGGUUGAACGGCCACAUUGGGACUGAGAUACGGCCCAGACUCCUACGGGAGGCAGCAGUCGGGAAUAUUGCGCAAUGGAGGAAACUCUGACGCAGUGACGCCGUGUAUAGGAAGAAGGUUUUCGGAUUGUAAACUAUUGUCGUUAGGGAAGAGAAAGGACAGUACCUAAGGAGGAAGCUCCGGCUAACUACGUGCCAGCAGCCGCGGUAAUACGUAGGGAGCGAGCGUUAUCCGGAAUUAUUGGGUGUAAAGGGUGCGUAGACGGGAAGAUAAGUUAGUUGUGAAAUCCCUCGGCUUAACUGAGGAACUGCAACUAAAACUGUUUUUCUUGAGUGCAGGAGAGGUAAGUGGAAUUCCUAGUGUAGCGGUGAAAUGCGUAGAUAUUA
rnacentral:rRNA from 1 species